UACAUGGGGUGCAAACGUUGCUCGGAAUUAUUGGGCGUAAAGCGCGCGUAGGCGGUUGCUCAAGUCGGAUGUGAAAGCCCUCGGCUUAACUGAGGAAGUGCACCCGAAACUGAGCAGCUAGAGUACCAAAGAGGGUCGCGGAAUUCCCGGUGUAGUGGUGAAAUGCGUAGAUAUCGGGAGGAACACCAGUGGCGAAGGCGACUUCCUGGCCUGUUCUUGACGCUGAGGCGCGAAAGCUAGGGUAGCAAACGGG
rnacentral:rRNA from 1 species